rnacentral:rRNA from 1 species
GAUGAACGCUGGCGGCGUGCCUAAUACAUGCAAGUCGAGCGAACAGAUGAGGAGCUUGCUCCUCUGACGUUAGCGGCGGACGGGUGAGUAACACGUGGAUAACCUACCUAUAAGACUGGGAUAACUUCGGGAAACCGGAGCUAAUACCGGAUAAUAUAUUGAACCGCAUGGUUCAAUAGUGAAAGACGGUUUUGCUGUCACUUAUAGAUGGAUCCGCGCCGCAUUAGCUAGUUGGUAAGGUAACGGCUUACCAAGGCAACGAUGCGUAGCCGACCUGAGAGGGGAGGAGGCGACAGCGGAACUGAAACAAGGAGCAGAGGACGCAGGGAGGGAGGAGGAGGGUAAGGUAGGGUAGUGGAUGAAGGCGUAAGGGGAAAUGCCGAGUGAGUGAUAGGGGGAGUGGGAUAUGAAAAGUCUAAGAUUAGGGAAAAGGAAAUGGGGAGGGUACGAGGAACGGCUGGAAGGUAACUAAGGAGGAAGGAACGGCUAACUAAGUG